CGGUGAAACGUCAAAGACUGAAAAUUAUUGUUGAUGAUAUAUUGUUUACAAUUUGGAAAAAAGUAAAAUAAAUAAAACAAAAUAUGAUAAGCAGUGUUGAUUAAUUUUUUGAAGAUGAAGAUGAAAACGAAAGAGCGGAGAAAGUAUUGGUGUGUAGAUUACGAAGAAGUUUAAGGGACAACUCCAACCCACUUCAACUUCCAGAUAAUUUGUUUGUGUCAUAUUUUCGCGUUAAUAAGCAUGCAUUUGGUUAUAUUUUAAACAUCAUUACACCAGGAUUUAAAACUACUCAAAGUUCUGCAAUUCCACCAUAUAUAAAAGUUUCAGGCCAGAUUACCCGGAAUAGUGGGCUGUGUAGAUGGGACUCACAUUGGAAUAAUCGCUCCUGUUCAGCUACAACAUCAAUUUUUAAACAGAAAAGGAUUUUAUAGUUUAAAUGUUAGUGGUGGCCUGUGACAAUAAUGGAAUUAUAAGAUUUAUUGAUUCCAGAUAUCCAGGUUCAACACAUGACUCUUUUGUGUGGAAUCAUAUUGAAUUAAAGGAUCUUUUGGAAAGCUGGUGGUUGAAUGGAGAGCGGUCAAGAUAUCUAGGUGUGAAUAUAUUCCAUUCGUAGGUAAAGAAGUAAAUGGGCUAUUUUUAAGAACAAUUUUUUUGUUUUCAAAAAUUCCAGGCUUGGUUUUUUUUUGAAGAUCCGAAAGAUCCUAUACCUUUCGCAUUUUCGGGGUUUGUCUCCAUAAUUUCAACGAGCUUUGAAAAUUGGUUGGAGUUGGUUCUUUUUAUGCUAGGUAUACAAAUAAAAUUCUAUAUUAUUUUUGCAAUUGUUAAGCAUUCAUUAAUUUUAAGCAUUCAUUACCUUUUUCUAUUUCCAGUGCAACUCAUUUUACUUUAUUUUCCAAAAUUAUUCUCAAAACAAAAUAAAACAAACAAACAACCACCGAUUUCAAAUUUAACAGUAAAUUUCUUCAAGUCACGAAGAACUACAGUUCGACCGAUUCUGACAGAUAAAAGCGAACAUUCGCUAGUGGUAAUAGAGCGAGAUUUCAAUUCGCUAUUUUUUUUUUGACAUUUUAGGCGAAUGUCAACUAGGCGAUUCGCAAACGGUAAUACCAAAUAGUCACAUUUAUUAAAUUUUUCUUGCGACUCGCGAGUC